UGGGGAAUCUUGCACAAUGGGCGGAAGCCUGAUGCAGCGACGCCGCGUGGGGGAUGACGGCCUUCGGGUUGUAAACUCCUUUCGCCAGUGACGAAGCCGUGAGGUGACGGUACCUGGAUAAGAAGCACCGGCUAACUACGUGCCAGCAGCCGCGGUAAUACGUAGGGUGCGAGCGUUGUCCGGAAUUACUGGGCGUAAAGAGCUCGUAGGUGGUUUGUCGCGUCGUCUGUGAAAUUCCGGGGCUUAACUCCGGGCGUGCAGGCGAUACGGGCAUAACUUGAGUGCUGUAGGGGAGACUGGAAUUCCUGGUGUAGCGGUGAAAUGCGCAGAUAUCAGGAGGAACACCGAUGGCGAAGGCAGGUCUCUGGGCAGUAACUGACGCUGAGGAGCGAAAGCAUGGGUAGCGAACAGG
rnacentral:rRNA from 1 species